rnacentral:lncRNA from 1 species
AUAUGGAUGCAACAAAUAUCUGAAUGAUGACAUCGUGGGAUCCCCGGAGCAGUGCAAAGUGGCCAUCUCCUGCAUCGUGGACAUUUGGCUGGAGUAUAUCAGGAGGAUUUUCAUCAGCCACCAGAAUUUCUCUCCCUGAGGAAGCUGCUGGAAUUCAUGGGGCUCAACAUGCCAGGCUCAGACCUGGAAAACUGGGCCCAGCGUUACCUGGAACGAUUCAGCUACCUGGAGCUCGUGGAAUUAGACGAUGAGGAUGAGGAGGACUGGGGGUGGCCGAGCUUGGGACAGGGUGGGCCACACAGACCCAACCUCCGUGAAGCUGGGCCAGGAGCAGUGGCUUCGGCCCCGGAGCAACACCCUAACCCACCUCAGGAGCCCACCCCAGCUCCGACUGUGUGGCCUGCGGCACCUUCAGGGCCUGAGGUGACCGAGCCAGUCCCGGCUGCUGGAGGUGAGGGCUUGGCCCAAGCUGAGAUGCCGGCUGCUGAGUUCAAGUCAAUGCACAUGGUUUUGGCACCUAUGAUUCCCCACCCUGAUGAGGAGCCACCUGCACCCUCAGCCACCCGGUGGAGGAGUAGGCCCUGGCGCCUGCAGUCAGGGUCCCCAAAGUGCCAGGGCCGCCACCUGCCUCUGGAGCAACUGGUUUUGACCCCUGAGCAACCCCCUGAACCACCUCAGGAGCCACCUCAGCUCCUACCGCAGGGCUCGUGAUAGCUGCAGCCCAACGGAGGCUUCCCUCCCCAUCAUUGCGCUGUUUCCAUAUUUUGUUUUUCUUUAACCUCUAUAAUGGCUUAUGAAUUUUAUUUGUAAUAAAAGAUAAGUUAACGGCA